AUUGAACGCUGGCGGCGUGCUUAACACAUGCAAGUCGUGCGGUAACAGGCGUAGCAAUACGUGCUGACGAGCGGCGAACGGGUGCGUAAUACAUGGGAAUCUGCCCUUUAGUGGGGAAUAACCCGGCGAAAGCCGGGCUAAUGCCGCAUAAGAUCUUCGGAUGAAAGCGGGGGAUCGUAAGACCUCGCGCUGAUGGAUGAGCCCAUGCCGGAUUAGCAGUUGGUGAGGUAACGGCUCACCAAGGCGACGAUCCGUAGCUGGUCUGAGAGGACGGCCAGCCACACUGGGACUGAGACACGGCCCAGACUCCUACGGGAGGCAGCAGUGGGGAAUAUUGGACAAUGGGGGAAACCUGAUCCAGCGACGCCGCGUGUGUGAAGAAGGCCUGCGGGUUGUAAAGCAC
rnacentral:rRNA from 1 species